UGUUCCAGGCCCCUUCCCCAGCUCACAUCCCUGCCGCUCAGUGUCCCCAUGCUCUCCCUCUCUGUCACUGCCCCCCUCUGGGUCAGCUCUGCCCUCUGGAACCCCACAGAGCAAGGCUAGACCAAUGGGUUUCAGACUCGAAGACAAAAAUUAUGUUUAUCUCAAGUUUUCUCCUCUGUCUGACUUUCUCCUGCUCCCUGAAAGCCCUUUCUGUGACCUGGUUUCUGCUUCCCAUCCUGGCCAUUUCUUUGUGAAUAGGAUUCAAUUUGUCCAGGAACCCUUCAAAGGGAUCCCACAGUUCAGAGAGAGGAAGGGAAACAUCUGACCCAGGCAUACAGCUCAAUGCUCACCUCGCCAGUCUGGAUGUUAAACUGCUGCCCAACCAGGAGAGAUCAUUUACUGCCUCCUUUGGUCUCCGAGAUUCCCUCCAGUCCUGAUCUUCUCUAGAGUCAGUUAUUGGCACCUUUGCCACCACACCCUGGACCAUGCCCACGUCAGACAUGACCAGUCAAUCACAGCACUUUCUCCCUGAGCCCAGACACGAUCUCAGAAACCUCAAAAGGACACUCAAGCAGCCCCUAUCAUCAGUUGCAGUUGGCACAAGAAGUGAAGCUAUUCAUCAUCCUGGUGACCCAAUGACCAGCAUGGGGAGUGGCCUCUGCCUGGCUGCAGGUGCUAACCAAUCCUUCUCUGCCUCUCAGGUUUGCUACCGGUUUUGCCUACUAUAGUUUGGCUAUGGGUGUGGAAGAAUUUGGAGUCAACCUCUACAUCCUCCAGAUCAUCUUUGGUGGGGUCGAUGUCCCAGCCAAGUUCAUCACCAUCCUCUCCUUAAGCUACCUGGGCCGGCAUACCACUCAGGCCGCUGCCCUGCUCCUGGCAGGAGGGGCCAUCUUGGCUCUCACCUUUGUGCCCUUGGGUGAGAGACUGGGGCUACCCCAGAACCCUCUGGAAGAGGCUGCCAGGUUGGGUGCCAGGGACUUCACUGCUGGCUCUGCCUCUAAGUCACUGUGUUACCUUGAGCAGGUCCCUGCACUCUCUGGGGCUCAGGGUCUCUCUUCUAGAAAAUAACGCAAUUGGGCUAGAUGACAUGAAAGCUCCUUUCCAGAUCUGACUUGGACUGGGCAAAAAGUAUGGUGGUAUCUGGAUAGUGUGAAAAUUUUUGAGGUAUUGAGAGUGUCCUGAGUGACAUCACUGUAGAGAUAAGCUGAGAUGGUAAAACGACAGAGCUCAUGCUCAAGAAAGACCCCACAACCUACUCCAUCAUGACCUUGGAAAAGCUACGUUUAUUUUAUAUGGGUGUUAGUUGGUUGAUAACACCUAUACCCUUCCAAAAGAACUUGAGGUAUUUUAAGACAAGAACAAGAACAUAUACAACAAAAUAUAAAUGGAAAUAGAGGAUCAGAGGCAGGGGAAAACACAAACAUAGCAGGACACAGGCAUGCAAAGCAUUACUCAGCUUUAAGUUUGGAUCUGAGCUUCUUGGAAGCCAAAGCAAAAAGGGAGACAAGAUCAGCUAAGGAGUGAGAACUCUUAGGUGCUCCUGAACUCCAAGGCCCACCACAUUUUCUUCCCUCUGCAGACUUGCAGACCGUGAGGACAGUAUUGGCUGUGUUUGGGAAGGGAUGCCUAUCCAGCUCCUUCAGCUGCCUCUUCCUCUACACAAGUGAAUUAUACCCCACAGUCAUCAGGCAAACAGGUAUGGGCGUAAGUAACCUGUGGACCCGCGUGGGAAGCAUGGUGUCCCCGCUGGUGAAAAUCACGGGUGAGGUACAGCCCUUCAUCCCCAAUAUCAUCUACGGGAUCACCGCCCUCCUCGGGGGCAGUGCUGCCCUCUUCCUGCCUGAGACCCUGAAUCAGCCCUUGCCAGAGACUAUCGAAGACCUGGAAAACUGGUCAGUCACUGCCUCUGGCCCCAUCAGUGCUCCUCCCUGGGGAAGCAGGUCUGGGCCCAGGGCUUUUCCUUAGCUCUCUGUCCCUAGGUCCCUGCGGGCAAAGAAGCCAAAGCAGGAGCCAGAGGUGGAAAAGGCCUCCCAGAGGAUCCCUCUACAGCCUCACGGACCAGGCCUGGGCUCCAGCUGAGGACAACGGAACCCCCUUUCCCUGCCCUCCAGAGACUGAUCCUAGCCAGGCACCUUAGGAGUAUAGGGAGGCCCCAUAUAGGUCCAUCCUCCUAGGAUGAAGCCUUCUGAGAGCUUGGUGAAGGUGUCUCCAUCACCACCACCAGAGCCUCCUGCCCAGCCCUGGCCAGUUCAAAGGUUCAGCCAUCCCUGCCCUUGUUCUCCCUGCAACCCAGGCCCUGCCAUUCUUCUGUCUAGCCCUUCCCCACUGGCCACCUUCCCCCACUGUCCCGGUCCUCUUCCCCUGAGGUCCCCUGAUAUCCCCUGGCUCAGUCCUAACAAGACUGAGUCUUAACAAGAUGAGAAGUCCUCCCCUUCUUGCCUCCCACACUUUUCUUUGAUGGGAGGUUUCAAUAAACAGCGAUAAGAACUCU
rnacentral:lncRNA from 1 species